GACGAACGCUGGCGGCGUGCUUAACACAUGCAAGUCGAACGGAAAGGCCCUGCUUUUGUGGGGUGCUCGAGUGGCGAACGGGUGAGUAACACGUGAGUAACCUGCCCUUGACUUUGGGAUAACUUCAGGAAACUGGGGCUAAUACCUGAUAGGAGCUCCUGCUGCAUGGUGGGGGUUGGAAAGUUUCGGCGGUUGGGGCUGGACGCGCGGGUUAUCAGCUUGUUGGUGGGGUAGUGGCUUACCAAGGCUUUGACGGGUAGCCGGCCUGAGAGGGUGACCGGCCACAUUGGGACUGAGAUACGGCCCAGACUCCUAUGGGGGGCAGCAGGGGGGAAUAUUGCACAAUGGGCGGAAGCCUGAUGCAGCAACGCCGCGUGCGGGAUGACGGCCUUCGGGUUGUAAACCGCUGUAGCCUGUGACGAAGCGUGAGUGACGGUAAUGGGUAAAGAAGCACCGGCUAACUACGUG
rnacentral:rRNA from 1 species